GUUUGAUGCUCUCAUUCUUGUCUUUCUAGUCUCAUUUCACAUGCCAUAUCAUUUUCACUCACUGGGUAAACACACUUCUGAUUUCUCUCUCUCCCUCUCUUCAUCUCUCGCUCUCUCUCCAUCUCUCUCUCUCUCUCUCUCCCUUUCUUCAUCUCUCUCUCUCUCCAUCUGUCUCUCUCUCUCAUCUCACUCUCUCUGUCUCUCCAUCUCACUCCCUCUCUCUGUCUCUCCCCCCUCUCUCACUCUCUCUCCCUCUCUAUAUCUAUCUCUCUCUCUCCAUCUCUCCCUCUCUCUCCAUCUCCCACUCUCUCUCUCCAUAUCUCACUCUCUCUCCAUCUCUAUAUCUGUCUCUCUCUCUCCAUCUCACUCUCCUCUCUCUCUCCAUCUCACUCCCUCUCUCUGUCUCUCCCCCCCUCUCUCACUCUCUCUCCCUCUCUAUAUCUAUCUCUCUCUCUCCAUCUCUCCCUCUCUCUCCAUCUCCCACUCUCUCUCUCCAUAUCUCACUCUCUCUCCAUCUCUAUAUCUGUCUCUCUCUCUCCAUCUCACUCUCUCUCUCUCUCCAUCUCACUCCCUCUCUCUGUCUCUCCCCCCUCUCUCUCUCUCUCCCUCUCUCACUCUCUCUCCCUCUCUAUAUCUAUCUCUCUCUCUCCAUCUCUCCCUCUCUCUCCAUCUCCCACUCUGUCUCUCCAUCUCCCACUCUCUCUCUAUUCCUGUCCCAGGGCAUUAGGACCAGGGAGCCUCCACGAAAACCCUGCGCGUGAGCGCGCACAUAACGGAGUUCGCGUAGGAAAACCCCCCACCGGAGAGCUUGUGCCGCCGGAUACCUGAAAUACAAAAUCAUUUCCGUCCAGCGCGUGCUGCAGCUUCACCAGGAAAAAACGCACGGCGGGUGACGAAAUGCACGGACGCGCACGGAAUCUGGAGAGUUGACGCCGGUGUGCCAGGAAUUCCCUCCGACUUCUGAACCGGACCGAGAUUUUGGGCAGAAAUCGCAAUCGUCGCAUCCGCAACCCUCUGCCUUCUUCCCCGCGCGAUCCUUCUCUGGAUUCCAGUCCCGGGAGCUACCGGUCACCGCGUGGAUGGGUGAACUGGUCCGAGCCUCGCUGAUCAGCUGCGAACACACAGCCUGGGGGAAAGUGUGUCCGCCGCCCGCGCGCUGAAAUGCCUGUCACUCGUGUCACUGACUGACCACCGGAGCUGCGCGUGGAGGGAAGAAGGGAACCAUGCUCUCCUCUCUGCCUGUGUUCUUGCUGAUGAUGUCUGUUGCCGGGGCCCACGGUGUGAAGCUGCUGUCCAAGCGAGACUCUGAUGUCUUACAGAGUUGCCUUUCUAUUGACUUUACUGGAGAGAGAGAGGGAUGACAAUAGACUUGUCAGGGGUAAAGACUUCUGUGAUCUUAAGUGUAUUCAGAGAUUC
ensembl:lncRNA